rnacentral:rRNA from 1 species
GUCUCAGGCCGUAUCAGCCUGAAGGCGCCCGAUCUCGUCUGAUCUCGGAAGCUAAGCAGGGUCGGGCCUGGUUAGAUCUUGGAUGGGAGACCACCUGGGAAUCCCGGGUGCUCGAGGCU